rnacentral:rRNA from 1 species
AUUCCAGCUCCAAUAGCGUAUAUUAAAGUUGUUGCAGUUAAAAAGCUCGUAGUUGGAUUUCUGGCGGGAUGAACACGCCCUCAGCUGAGUGUGCAUGAGCGUCUCACCAUCCUUCUGUUAACCCUUAAGGUUUUAACGACCUUCUGGGGGCUCAGAUAUUUUACCUUGAGAAAAUUAGAGUGUUUCAGGCAGGCUAGCGCCGGGAUACAUUAGCAUGGAAUAAUGGAAUAGGACUUUUUCCUCUUCUGUUGGUCUGAGGGGUUCGAGUAAUGAUUAAUAGGGAUAGUUGGGGGCAUUCGUAUUUAACCGUCAGAGGUGAAAUUCUUGGAUUUGUUAAAGACGGACUACUGCGAAAGCAUUUGCCAAGGAUGUUUUCAUUA